CUCACCAGGCCCCAGGGGUCUAAUUAGAGUCCUCUGGAGUGGGGGGCGAGGACAGCCAGCCCCAAGAGGCUGUGAUCCUCCCCCAGAGCCCCCAGCUCUCCUCCGCCCCGCACACAAGAGCAUCUGCAAAGACGAGGGCCCCUGGGCCACGUCUGCAGGGCACGGAGAGAGCGUGGCCCGCUGGAGACUCUGGAGUUGCAGGCCCUUGCGGGAAUCCAUGCCACACACUAGCAGCUGUGUGAUGUCCAGCGGCCCCUUCCGCUCUCUGUGCCUUGGUUCUCCGCUGCAUGCAGGGAGGGGAGGCGGCCCGCACCUUCUAAGGACCUUUCCGCUCGGCGUCCUUCUGCUCAUCUUGCCGGGCUUGUCCAGCUCACAACAUCAGUGCUUUGCUAACAUGUGUCCUGGCCCUGAACUGUCUGCAGAGCCCGACAGAGCACCUCACCUGGUCAAGGAAAUUUUCAGUCCCAUCCAGCCUGCACAGACCGCACGCCUCUGGGCUUUAUCAGCUCCAUUCUAGAGAAGAAUCCAAUGAAGCUCCAAAGACAGACCGUCUGGAUCAAGAUCAUACAAAGUCACAGAGUGGGAUUGUCUGCCAGUUCCAUCACAUCUUUGCCAGCAUGCAAAUGAUGCACUUUGGGGUUUCUCAGGGCGUUAACCCCAUGCUCUCCAAUCCCCGAUUCCGGGAGUCCAGAUUUUGCGCCAGCUGUGCAAGAAGGACAUAUGAAGAGCGCAGAGGAUUCUUCUCCAGGAUAUCAAGGACCGUAUUUUCUUCCCCUGGAGUGCUUCAUAUAGGAUCAAGAGGCAGAGUGGCUUCGAGAACAUUUUUCUGCAUGCCGCCCAGGACUCUUCUGAUGACUCGCCAUCUGAUCAGCACUUGGUUCCAGCAAAUGGCAAUACUGACACCAAAUGUCGUUCACCUCCGGUGGCUGCUGCCCUCUCCGUGUACAGAGGCUCCAUACCAAACAAUACGGCCAUGGAAACAACCUGCUGCCAAUGCCUUUCGGGGCGUCUUUGACCUUGCCUGUCCCUCUGGUCAGGGCUCAGUCGUCCCAGGAGCUGGCGUGCAUCGCUGAUCCUACAGACACCAUGCAGCUGAUGGGCGGGCAGAGAGCGCUGCAGGUCACUGUCCAAGGCAGGUCCGAACUCCCGCACUCCUCAGCCUGUUCUGUGUGCCAUCCGGCCCCAUCCAAGAGGGCCCCAGGUACCCUAACGGGGCCCACUCCACCUAGCUGCACACCCCAGGCUUCCAGGGCGCCAUAGCCAAUUGCUCUGCGAGACCUGGCCUCCUUGUAAUUUCCAAUUUGUGACAAAUGUAAAAAUAGAAGGCCAUUCGAUGCAGGCAGCUCACAUCAAAUUGGAUGCCACUUUCGUGUCAUGUCAGAUCACGGUAAACGGAGCUGAUGACUUGGUCGGCCACUCUCCGUGGCUCCUGGAGCAGUGAGAGGGUGCUGACAGACCAGGGAGCCACCUAAGAGUUAGGGAAAGGUGGCUGGGUGCACAACACUCAAAACAGCUUUAAAUGAGUUUGAACUCUAGGUCACAAAUCUGCUGUAAGAAGCAGGGCACUUGAGUGCGAAUCCCAGAUCUGCACCUUAGGGUGCAGCUGAGGGACCUUGGGUACAAACUCUUCUCUCCAGGCCUCGACUUCCUUAAAGAACACCACUGCCUGCCCCCCUGGGUCCCCCAGAGCUGCAGCAAAGCUCAGUGUUGGAAAACAAAGCAGGCAAGCGCUUCCUAACCAUGCAGCUCCUUAAAUGGGGAGUGUGGUCCUUGCUGAGCCAGCCGCCCUGGGGAGGUCGAUGGAGGGUUGGCCCUUCAUGGCAAGAAUGUCAGCACACUACAGCCUUGCCUAGCAAGGGUCCUCAUCUCUCUUCUUCUCGGUUUCCUCAUCUGCACAGGGACAAUUCCAUGCACCCCACGGGGCUUUGUGAAAAUUAAAUGCAAUCAUGUAAGUAAAGCACACAGCACGUUCCCUGGCAGAUCACCGACUUGCAA